rnacentral:lncRNA from 1 species
GUAUGUUCUCAAGCAACAAACUCCUAACUACUAAAUAUAGCUAGAUUCGAAGAACAAUGCUUAUGAGGAGGAAUAAGGUGAAUGUCUAAAUAUAACAUGUCUCAUAAUUGUAGUUGUGACUGAGAAUCAUAUGAUCAUUAAUCUAAAUGAUGUUUUUUUAGUAAAAACUAUAAGAUAUGAAAAAUGCAAAACUUUCUAAG